CAGUAGCCGCGGGAAUACGGAGGGUGCAAGCGUUAUCCGGAUUUAUUGGGUUUAAAGGGUCCGUAGGCGGACUUAUAAGUCAGUGGUGAAAGCCUGUCGCUUAACGAUAGAACUGCCAUUGAUACUGUAAGUCUUGAGUAUAUUUGAGGUAGCUGGAAUAAGUAGUGUAGCGGUGAAAUGCAUAGAUAUUACUUAGAACACCAAUUGCGAAGGCAGGUUACCAAGAUAUAACUGACGCUGAGGGACGAAAGCGUGGGUAGCGAACAGGAUUAGAUACCCCGGUAGUCCCUGUCUCUUAUAC
rnacentral:rRNA from 1 species